UUGUGGGCGAGUUUUUGUGGACGAAUUCUCAUGGACAAGGUUUCUCGUAGACAAUUUGUGGACACCAUAUAUGUGGACAAACAAAUUGGUAGACAAGAGAAGCGUUGAUAACAUGAUUUUAUCGAAUGUUAUAGAAAAUAAUUGCCUUCUUUGUCUGUCUAAGAAAAAAAUGAGAAUUGUUUAUUAACUUCUUGUAUACUCGAUUUAGAUAUUUAUAAAUUGAAUAAAGAAGAAAUUUUUUUGUGAAUCAAUGAAUUAUGGAUCUAAUUCGUCAUUUAGUAAAAUUUCUCUAUAAAAUCAUUCAUCAUUCAUCAUUAUCAUGAAACAACGAUUAAGCUUUUCUGUGGACACAAUUCAGUGGUCGAACACACUUCUGUGGACACAGUUUAUGUGGACGUGAAAAUGUUACAAAAUUUUCUGUGGACACCGUAUCUACCACCACCUUUUCCACCUCAUGUCUUCCACCUCAUAUUCACAUCCACCACCACAACAUCCACCAACACGGCAUCCACCACCACUUCCUCCUCCUCGCAUCUUCCACCUUUGUAUCCACAUCCACCACAACAGCAUCCACAGCCACGACAUCCACCACCACAUCCUCCUCCUCACGUCUUCCACCUCCGUAUCAACAUCCACCACCAUAGCAUCCACCAUCACGGCAUCCAUAAUCACCACCAGCUCUUCAUCCUCACGUCUUCCACCUCUGUAUCCACAUCCACCACAACGGCAUCCACCACCACCUCCUCCUCUCGAGUAGCCACCUCCACCACUGUUUUUACCCUCAUGAACCAAGAUAAAAAAUCAGACAAGAAAUUAACUUUCCAUAUAUGAAUCUGUUAGAUAUAUCUAUGAAAUUAGGAACAUAGAGUUAUGAUUGAGAAUGGAUUGGAGUUUCUGAAUUCAUGGUGUGACUCACCAAUGGUCGAGUAUGAAGAGUUGGCGGAACAGUUUCAGAUCGAACAAAAGCUAGAAGUGGAGACAUAAAGCUUCAACAAAGUGAUGGAGAUGUCGAAUUUGAGAAAGUGGAUUAGGGUUCGGAUCGAUCUGUAGUUUUAGUAGAAGUUGGUAAAGAGCCAAAAUUAGGGUUCAUAUCUGGGGGUAAUCGAUUUUGAAAAGGGGAUCUGUCUUACAAAAGUGAAAAAGAUUUUAUUAUAUUUCGAAAUUUUUUAUUUUCCUCACUAGUUUUCUAAUCGUUAUAAUGAAAAUGAGAAAAUCGGUUGGUUCAGUUUCUUGGUUUACGAUCUAGUUAGACACUUAUCCAAUAGUUAUUCUUUACAUAGAUAAGGGGUAGUUAUGACAAUUUACUAAGAGAAAGUGUCUACUUGGGCCAAAGUGUCUAUGAGAGUAAUUCAUAACUUGGAAUGUGUCUCUGAGAGUAAAUUUCUCUUAAAAAAUUCUAACAAAAUGAAUUCAGUUAGCAUUUAGCAGUGUGGUCAGACUUUGGCUACUUAUAAAAAACUACACUAUGUUUGCCUAAUUCGAGACAAUCAUUUAAUUUUAAAAUAUUAGAAUUUGAUGACACACUAUCUUAUAAAGUUGUAAUAAUAACUUUUAAUUUGAAUAAAAAUAAACUUAGGGACGUGAACAAAAGUAUUUAGACGAAGAAAUCAACAUUGAUACAACAAGCAGUUAUUUUACGGCAAAAAGUUAUUUUAACAAUUUUUUUCAACGAUUACUAUAUUAUCUUUAUUCUAUAGUCACCCACGAAGGUUGACUUGUGACAUUUGAAUCUGAACACGAUACCAAAAUUUCUCACGAGUAAGAGAGCAAGUUGUUUUGUCUUAAUUGCGGAUACACUUACUCCUCAAAUUAAAUACGGAGUAUAGUUUUUCCUCUUAUUGAAGACAUUAUAUUUUUAUUUUCUUUUUAUUAGAGUAACAUAAUUUUCGUUAUUUAUGUGCUUGUAAAUCAUCUGAUUCAUGCACUUAUAAAAAAUGUCUAUAUUAAGGCAGAGAUAAGAUCAAACAAAUACGUUUUCAAGAAAACGAAUCCUAAUUAAUGAUCCAGAAAAUUGGAAAACAUAAUUUGAAUUUUUUUUUUAAAGCAACAAUAAGAGAAUCACAAACAAAUGAAGCUCAGAUUGAUCCAAAAUCACUACUGACAAAUACCUAACCGAGAUAGAAGAGGCAGAAUGGACAAAAUAACAGCAUUCUGCAACCAUACAAUUGCCAAAUUAUAUAUAAACAUCCGAAAACAUAAUGAAAAGAAAAACGUACAUGAAUAUACAACAGUCUUCUUGUUAUGUGUGUGGGAUAUGAUAUGAUCAAGUGUUUAAGGUAUAUGUCAGAAGAGUGCAGAGAGAAAGGUCCUCUAGUUUCCUCUAUUUCUGGGGAAAAUGAAGAGAGAUGGAAGGAGAGGAAGUGAAAUGAGCGUUGAAGCUGUUGAUGAACAAGGACAAAGUGCAAGCGUUUUGAAACGACCAUUUAUAAGCGACUCUAUAAGAGAUAUUCCAUUUUAUGUUUCGGUAUAUUCUCCCUCUAGCGACGCCGUUUUCUAUCUUCAAUAUUUUUUCUCUCUUUUUAUUACAACUUUUAUUUCGCUGUAAUUAUUCUUUUAUUAUCUAAAAACAGCUGUUUUACUAUAAUAAUAAGUUCUUGUUUUGUACUUGUAAUUGACCAUGAACUGUACUUAGAUACGGAGGUUUUGAUGUAUUUUUAUAAUAUUAAAUUGGGAUCUUCAACAUUAAGUACAAUCACUAGAUACCUAUUCCCUGGCAUGCUAUUUAGGCAGAUAUAAGAUUUAAAUCAUAAUAGAGUCAAAAUAGGGGUUAAAAAAUGAGAGACUUACAUAAAAAGACACAUUGUGAGUUUUGUUUACUCUAUAAGACACAAAGCAACUUUGACACACUUUUUCCUGCCAGCUGUCUUUAUUGAGACGGAAAUAACCUUGGUUAUUACUAAAGAGAAAUAUACUUAUUUUAAGGAAGCAAACCGAAAAAGAACCAGUUACCUUGUAAUUGCAAUAAAGGAUAAAGCAAUAAAACAAAAAAUUAGAUAUAUGAGUUUAUGAGAAUAUAUCGUGAACGUCAGAUCAUUUUGAAGAAAGCAAAUCCAAUGAUCCGGAGAUGUGUUGAUUUGUGGGCGAGUUUUUGUGGACGAAUUCUCAUGGACAAGGUUUCUCGUAGACAAUUUGUGGACACCAUAUAUGUGGACAAACAAAUUGGUAGACAAGAGAAGCGUUGAUAACAUGAUUUUAUCGAAUGUUAUAGAAAAUAAUUGCCUUCUUUGUCUGUCUAAGAAAAAAAUGAGAAUUGUUUAUUAACUUCUUGUAUACUCGAUUUAGAUAUUUAUAAAUUGAAUAAAGAAGAAAUUUUUUUGUGAAUCAAUGAAUUAUGGAUCUAAUUCGUCAUUUAGUAAAAUUUCUCUAUAAAAUCAUUCAUCAUUCAUCAUUAUCAUGAAACAACGAUUAAGCUUUUCUGUGGACACAAUUCAGUGGUCGAACACACUUCUGUGGACACAGUUUAUGUGGACGUGAAAAUGUUACAAAAUUUUCUGUGGACACCGUAUCUACCACCACCUUUUCCACCUCAUGUCUUCCACCUCAUAUUCACAUCCACCACCACAACAUCCACCAACACGGCAUCCACCACCACUUCCUCCUCCUCGCAUCUUCCACCUUUGUAUCCACAUCCACCACAACAGCAUCCACAGCCACGACAUCCACCACCACAUCCUCCUCCUCA
rnacentral:lncRNA from 1 species